rfam:Trichinella nativa scaffold51s, whole genome shotgun sequence.
AUUGGCUAUGGUGAUAUGGUACCGAAAACUAGCGUCGGCAUGAUCAUUGGUUGUCUCUGCGCUUUAACUGGAGUACUUACACUUGCCUUGCCUAUGCCAGUAAUUGUUAGCAAU